rnacentral:tRNA from 1 species
GCGAUCAUGGUGGAAUUGGUAGACACGCUAUCUUGAGGGGGUAGUGCCACUAGGUGUGCGAGUUCGAGUCUCGCUGAUCGCACCA